AUAGCUGGUUUCUCAAGAAAAGAAUUUAAGUCCAACCUAAAGUAAUCUCGAUUCACAUAAAUCCCCAUACCACUUUAGAGCAAUUCAAAUGAGGUACAGCCCAUUUGAUAAAGGAUACAACCUUAACUAACGGGUAAUAUUAAAUCUACACCUUCAAGUAGGCCUAAGAGCAGCCACCAUUAAAAGCGUCAAAGCUUAAUCAUGUUUUCAUCAAUUUAAAAUCCCCCAUUGACCCCUUUAACUUUACUGAGAAUUUCUAUAUCGUAUAGAACAUUUUAUGCUAAAACUAGUAACAAGAGAAAACCCUCUCCCAAUGCAAACAAAAGCCAGCAAGAACCCAUCACUGGCAACUAACAGACCUAAACAAAAGUAACAAAAUCACUAGAAAACCCUACUUCUCACAACUGUUAACCUAACACUAGAGCAUUUCAGGGAAGAUUAAAAGAAAAAGAAGGAACUCGGCAAACACUAAUCCCGCCUGUUUACCAAAAACAUCGCCUCUUGUCCCUAUAAGAGGUCAAGCCUGCCCAGUGACUUUGUUCAACGGCCGCGGUAUCCUAACCGUGCGAAGGUAGCGUAAUCACUUGUUUUCUAAAUAAAGACCAGUAUGAAAGGCAUCACGAGGAUUAAACUGUCUCCUUUUUCCAAUCAGUGAACCUAAUCUCCCCGUGAAGAAGCGGGGAUUAUUUCAUAAGACGAG
rnacentral:rRNA from 1 species